rnacentral:misc_RNA from 1 species
GGAAUCUUGCACAAUGGGGGAAACCCUGAUGCAGCGACGCCGCGUGAGCGAUGAAGCCCUUCGGGGUGUAAAGCUCUUUCGGCAGGAACGAUAAUGACGGUACCUGAAGAAGAAGCUGCGGCUAACUACGUGCCAGCAGCCGCGGUAAUACGUAGGCAGCGAGCGUUGUUCGGAGUUACUGGGCGUAAAGCGUGCGUAGGCGGUCUUGUAAGUCUGGUGUGAAAUCUCCCGGCUCAACUGGGAGGGUGCGCCGGAAACUGCAAGGCUGGAGUAUGGGAGAGGUAGGCGGAAUUCCUGGUGUAGCGGUGAAAUGCGUAGAUAUCAGGAGGAACACCUGUGGUGUAGACGGCUUACUGGACCAUGACUGACGCUGAGGCACGAAAGCGUGGGGAGCAAACAGGA